rnacentral:rRNA from 1 species
GAGCAGCCCAGAGCCUGAAUCAGUGUGUGUGUUAGUGGAAGCGUCUGGAAAGGCGCGCGAUACAGGGUGACAGCCCCGUACACAAAAAUGCACAUGCUGUGAGCUCGAUGAGUAGGGCGGGACACGUGGUAUCCUGUCUGAAUAUGGGGGGACCAUCCUCCAAGGCUAAAUACUCCUGACUGACCGAUAGUGAACCAGUACCGUGAGGGAAAGGCGAAAAGAACCCCGGCGAGGGGAGUGAAAAAGAACCUGAAACCGUGUACGUACAAGCAGUGGGAGCACGCUUCGGCGUGUGACUGCGUACCUUUUGUAUAAUGGGUCAGCGACUUAUAUUCUGUAGCAAGGUUAACCGAAUAGGGGAGCCGAAGGGAAACCGAGUCUUAACUGGGCGUUAAGUUGCAGGGUAUAGACCCGAAACCCGGUGAUCUAGCCAUGGGCAGGUUGAAGGUUGGGUAACACUAACUGGAGGACCGAACCGACUAAUGUUGAAAAAUUAGCGGAUGACUUGUGGCUGGGGGUGAAAGGCCAAUCAAACCGGGAGAUAGCUGGUUCUCCCCGAAAGCUAUUUAGGUAGCGCCUCGUGAAUUCAUCUCCGGGGGUAGAGCACUGUUUCGGCAAGGGGGUCAUCCCGACUUACCAACCCGAUGCAAACUGCGAAUACCGGAGAAUGUUAUCACGGGAGACACACGGCGGGUGCUAACGUCCGUCGUGAAGAGGGAAACAACCCAGACCGCCAGCUAAGGUCCCAAAGUCAUGGUUAAGUGGGAAACGAUGUGGGAAGGCCCAGACAGCCAGGAUGUUGGCUUAGAAGCAGCCAUCAUUUAAAGAAAGCGUAAUAGCUCACUGGUCGAGUCGGCCUGCGCGGAAGAUGUAACGGGGCUAAACCAUGCACCGAAGCUGCGGCAGCGACGCUUAUGCGUUGUUGGGUAGGGGAGCGUUCUGUAAGCCUGUGAAGGUGUGCUGUGAGGCAUGCUGGAGGUAUCAGAAGUGCGAAUGCUGACAUAAGUAACGAUAAAGCGGGUGAAAAGCCCGCUCGCCGGAAGACCAAGGGUUCCUGUCCAACGUUAAUCGGGGCAGGGUGAGUCGACCCCUAAGGCGAGGCCGAAAGGCGUAGUCGAUGGGAAACAGGUUAAUAUUCCUGUACUUGGUGUUACUGCGAAGGGG